CCAUCCUGGGCCGGUCUUGCUUGUAAAUUGUCCCAUGAAGAGAUGACUGUUUAUUCUAAGCCGAGGCCAGGACCUGUGGGUCAAGUUCCAGAAGGCAGUGAGCUGGCCACUGGAAUAUGUGGACGAAACAAACAUCACAGGAAGCCAGCAGGACAACAUGCCCAUUAUCUGCCUGUCAUCUGCAUGUGAGGUGCCCAUACCAUUGCAGAAAGGAGCAGAGUGUGGUGAGGAUAAUGGCCUGGUGCAGAGGCAGACAUGUCUGAUGUACACGGCCAGCAUUGAAGUUUGGGGAAGAAAACAAAGCAAGUGUGGAUCCUCAAAUGGUGAACUGCAUCUCCAUCACCCAAGUCCUCUGGGAUGGCCUGACCCUGCAGACAGAAACUCAAGUCUCCUGCAUGGCUAGAUAGGGAAGGUUCAUGUGCUGGGUAGAGGAGUGUGUGUGGGAUGUGUGGGGGGACAGGACAGAACCCAGCACAGAUGACUGUGUCCUGUGAUGUGUUUUUUGUGAGGAGUCAGGCAACAUUUGCUCACAAACUGUAUAGCCAUGUGUAGCUUGCUUGACUGUGGCAAAACAAGAUGUAUCACUGGGGGUGGUCACAAACUGUGCCCCAAGUCAGGUCUGGCCACCAUCAUCAAUAAACCAAAACCAAAACCAAAAAAACAAGCAAGCAAACAAAAAAACAAAUGAAUACUAGAAAGCAGAGAAAAAUAGAUUAUUCAAUGCAUUGGGAAGAGAGACAGUCCAGAGUCUGCCUUCACGGGCCUGAAGUGAGAUCAGAACUUAAACAGAGAGCCAAGGCUGUGCACAUUUAAGAGUCCUGGAAAAGGUGUGGCCACACUCACCAGUAACCAUGUUUAUUUGGGUUUCAGUCUCAUCCUGCAAGGUGGUUUGAUAAGUUGUUUAGAACUUUUGAAAUUUCUUCCUGGGCAGCAAGUUCCUUGUAUGGCUAGCCCAAGAGAACCCUAAGGAAAUUCCCAUUUCUUUGGCGUUCAUUGCCACAAGUCUGAUAGACCGAGAGACAAGCAUCUCUUUAGAACACCUUCAUUUCUUCCAGGCCUGCUACAGAUGGACAAGAACGAGUCAGGGCUGCCAAGCAGACUUUCAGCCUACAGUGGGGAGACGACAGGAGAAUGAAGGCAGCCAAAAGACUUAGCAUCUGGCAGACAGCGGCAGGCACGGUCUGUAGGGUCAGUGGUUAAGUGCAGGAAGGCCACACAGAGCAGGAGGUGUCUGAAUGAAUAUGCUUUCCCAGUGAGAAGCCACACCUCACCCUUAGACAUUAAUAAAGGGAAACAUUCUUUAAUAAUACCCUGUGACUGCUUCUGGCCAAUGCACACAAAAAAGAACCAGUCUCAAACAGAAAAUUUUAUCAGCUUACACAGGCUUUGGGCUUAUGCAUUCUGAAUGCACUGUCGUCCCUUAGGUCCAGGCUCCAGGUUAUGAUCUGAAUAAUUUAAACAAGACAAGGGACUGCAAGGUAUUGGCAGAAUUAUUUCUUAAGUAUUGUUCUUUUUGUUACCUGAUGUCAUCUUGCCCACGUGGCAGAUAUGCUUUUCCUACAGGGAAAACAAGGAUUAAUGUUGGCUGUGAUCCUGCACUGCCCUCUUGAGCUGCCCUUAGGGGCAUAUUCUUUGGGAUGGGGUUAAAAUCCAGUUGUUAAGUCAGGGUUGUUUCCUCCUGUUAUGGGAAUGAGACCUAAUUGGAGUUAUAUAUUGGUGAAUAACCACUAGCAGAACGUUCUGAGUAACCCUAAACUUGAUUUAUAGCACAGAAUUUUCAAUCCUACAGUUUCUAACACAUCUGAUGUGGUGGUUUGAAUAUGCUUGGCCCAGAGAGUGGCACUAUAGGAGGUGUGGCCUUGUUGGAGUAGGUAUGGCCUUGGAGGAAGUUUGUCACUUUGGAUGUGGGCUUUGAGAUCCUUCUCCUAACUCACUGGAAGCCAGACUUCUAGCAGCCUUCAAAACAAGAUGUACAACUCUCAGCCUCUUCAGCACCAUGCUUGCCUGGACACUAAAAUGCUUCCCACCAUGAUGAUAAUGGAAUGAACCUCUGAACCUGUGAGCCAGCCCCAAUUAAGAGUUGCCUUGUUUAUGGUGUCUCUUCAUAGCAACCCUAACUAAGACACCCGGUUGGUAUACUACUCCUCAAGUCAUAUUGGAGGCAGCCCUUAGGUAAGUUCUACUUUGUGUUACUUGAUAUUUCCUAAGCAAGGUUAUUAGUGAAUCCCUUAUAGCAUCAAUUUUCCUACUUCAAGGUUCUCCUACUUCACUAACAGACAGACAAUGAAUGGCACUCAGUAUGAAGGAGCUCUGAGUUGGGCAACCAUUUCCUCUGAAUUGAAACAUUCCCUGUUGGAUGUAGAACAGCGAUUAAGACUUAGGAAGCUUAAGGAUAUGUGACGCUCAGAAGCAGUAAGCAAGUGCAGGGUGGGCAGACUCUCUGCUUGUCCCUUAGGGCGGUAAGCUCCAUUGACGUAGCUUUUAGUCCUUUCAGGAGCCUUUAACUGACCUAUGCAUGCUCUCCUAACUCCAAUAAACUCAUUCAUUGACUUGUCAAACUAGAGUUGGGCAACAUCAUCUCUUUGGUCUGUUGUUGGUGUCCUUUGUGAGGUGGAGAGACAUUUCUUCAAAUCUCCCCAGAAAAAAUUUAUAGACUGUCACAUCAGUUAGAGAUCUGAUAAGAUGCUGGGUGCUUGUAGUACAUGCCUCUAAUUCAGCACGGGAGUCAUCUCUGGCAGAAGAAUCUCUGUGAGCUCGAGGUCAGCCUGGUUACAGAGCUAGUUUCAGGACAGCCAGAGCUACACGAAGAAACCUUGGGGGAGGGGAGGGAAAUCUGAUGAGAUAGUGGUGGGUUAUCGGACAGAGGACCCAGACUCAAACAGUAAGUAGUCGGAGACCCAGAUAACCAGCUAGCAUAUAACUGGGAGGCCUAAUACAGCAUAGCUAAGUAAUACAGAUGUUUUUUUCUUUUAUGGAACAACUGCAAUACAGGAAGGAUGCUCUCAGCUCCAUGAGGUUCUCCAUGGGCCCUGUGAACCCAUCCUCUGCCUACAGCUCCCGCCUUUGUGUGCAGGGUUAUUUCUUCAGAUGUUCUCCACUCCGGUCACAGCUGGCUUACCAGUGCAACACUGAAGUCAUAGCCUGUGGGACAGAGCCCACUGAGGGAAGAGACUUUGUGCUCUGGUCUGAAUGUUUUGUAUUCCUCCUCAUUUGUAUACUGGAAUCCUAGCCCAAGAGAUAGGGUCUUUGGGGGGGGGGGUGUUAGGUUGUGGGUCAGGACCCUCAUGAAUAGGACCACAAGAGGCCAGAGGUAGAUCAUUGUCACCACAUGAAGACACACUGACCCAUUAAAAUAAGGAGCAGGACAAGGGUGAUCACAC